rnacentral:rRNA from 1 species
AUGGAAGGACCGUCUGACGGCCAACUGAUCCCCUCCACCGCAGGAGACCCUCACCUCAACAGCUCGGCCGCGCCCAUGGACGCCACCAGCAGCGGCUCGCAGCACGUCGCGACGCUGCGGAAGCUGCUGUUCCGGAGGAUGCUGGUCGGGGUGAACGACGGCCGCUACUUCCUGGGGCUGUUCCACUGCGUCGACAAGCAGGGGAACAUAAUCCUGCAGGACGCGGUGGAGUACCGCAGCGCGCGCCGCUCAUCCCCGUCGGCGCCGAAGGAGGAGCGGUGCCUCGGGCUCAUCCUGAUCCCGGCGUCCUGCCGCUCGUCCUGCCAUGUCGACUGCUUCAUCGAAGAGCAGAUGGCCCUGCUGUCCCUGUGCAAGUGA